UGAACAUGUAGCAAUUUGAGCAGAUGAAUUUAUGGAUUAUCAAUCAGAUGCAUGAAGACGAAUGGAGGACGUUAUGAGGUCAGUCAGAGGCUGAACUGAACGCCAAACACACAGCAGUCUCCUUCCUUAGCCAAUCAUCAUCCGGGGCACUAUCCACUCGCCAUACCGAGACCGGAUACACAAACACGGUUCCUGUGUACCGUUGCUAACUCACAGCUAGUUUAUGCUAACGUCUGUACAGUUGGUACUUUGGCUGUUUGGGGGCGAAUAAACAAACGACCCCCGCGGUCACAUUUACCGGAACGAUCGGUGCUUUUAUUUGUCUCACAGCUGCAGAUUUGCAGCCUGGGAAGAAGAGGAAGCUUCUACACAUCUUCUCUGAGCUGAAGCUCUGAGAUGAGUGCAGAGUUUCCGGACGACAACAGAGAAGUUCCUUCACUCCAUUCAUGCCGCCUUCUCUCCGUACUCACUGUAUACUCAUAGUAUUGUAUGUCAUGAAAUAAUUUAAUAAAAAAGUAAGUAAUAGUA